rnacentral:sRNA from 1 species
UUUUAAUUUAUUAUGAACACUUAUAACAACAAUUUAGUAAUUUUUAAUUGUUAAUAAAAAAAUUGAUAAAUCUUUAUUAAUAUCAAUAUUAUUGUCAGACAAAAGAGAUUUCUGAUUGUCUAGAUGAAUUGUUGCCACUUGAACGUCUUUAUCAAUAUCAAUAUUAUUGUUACACAAAAGAGAUUUCUAAUUGUCUAGACAUGAAUUGUUGUCACUUGAACGUAUUUAUCAAUAUCAAUAUUAUUGUCAGACCUGGCAAUAAUCUAGACCUGAAUUGAAUUGUUGUCUAAUUAUCUAGACCUGAAUUGUUGUCAUUUGAACUUCUGUCCGGGUCUGGAUUUUGUCAUGGAGGUUAGUAUUAUAUCUCCCAAGCACUUAAUUUGACUUACAUUAUAAGAUAAUUAAUUAAUCAAGUCUUUUACAUUCAUUUCAUCGGUUAUUGGAAAUUGUAGAUAAUAUUGACAUAAAACACAUCUUGUACAAACUUGAGCUUGCUAGUAUUUGUGGGAUAUAUUAUAAAAACCUAUACGAUAAAGGCACAAGAAUCCUUGCUUGAUCUGAUUCAGACAUGAUUACUCUCAAGAAAUCCUUGCGACUCUCAAAUCAUCACAUUGUUGAAAAGAUAAAGAUAGCUAACAUCCACAAAGAGAUUGAUUUGGAAAUUGAAUUAGAAAGAAAUGUCUUGAGUAUAUAUAUAUAUAUAU